rnacentral:tRNA from 1 species
GGGCGAGUAGCUCAGUUGGUUAGAGCGGCGGCUUUACACGCCGUAGGUCCGGGGUUCGAGUCCCUGCUCGCCCACCA